GAUGAACGCUGGCGGCGUGCCUAAUACAUGCAAGUCGAGCGAACGGACGAGAAGCUUGCUUUUCUGAUGUUAGCGGCGGACGGGUGAGUAACACGUGGAUAACCUACCUAUAAUACUGGGAUAACUUCGGGAAACCGGAUCUAAUACCGGAUAAUCUUUUGAACCCCAGGGUUCAAAAGUAAAAGACGGCCUUUCGGGAACGACUAGAGGGUUCCGCGCUGCAUUAGCUAGUUGUUAAGUUAACGGCUUACCAAGGCAACGAUGCAUAGCCGACCGAAGAGGGUGAUAGGCCACACUGGAACUGAGACACGGUCCAGACUCCUACGGGAGGCAGCAGUAGGGAAUCUUCCGCAAUGGGCGAAAGCCUGACGGAGCAACGCCGCGUGAGUGAUGAAGGUCUUCGGAUCGUAAAACUCUGUUAUUAGGGAAGAACAUAUGUGUAAGUAACUGUGCACAUCUUGACGGUACCUAAUCAGAAAGCAACGGCUAACUACGUG
rnacentral:rRNA from 1 species